rnacentral:rRNA from 1 species
AGUGAACGCUGGCGGUAGGCCUAACACAUGCAAGUCGAACGGCAGCACAGUAAGAGCUUGCUCUUACGGGUGGCGAGUGGCGGACGGGUGAGGAAUACAUCGGAAUCUACUUUUUCGUGGGGGAUAACGUAGGGAAACUUACGCUAAUACAGCAUACGACCUACGGGUGAAAGCAGGGGAUCUUCGGACCUUGCGCGAUUGAAUGAGCCGAUGUCGGAUUAGCUAGUUGGCGGGGUAAAGGCCCACCAAGGCGACGAUCCGUAGCUGGUCUGAGAGGAUGGUCAGCCACACUGGAACUGAGACACGGUCCAGACUCCUACGGGAGGCAGCAGUGGGGAAUAUUGGACAAUGGGCGCAAGCCUGAUCCAGCCAUACCGCGUGGGUGAAGAAGGCCUUCGGGUUGUAAAGCCCUUUUGUUGGGAAAGAAAAGCAGCAGGUUAAUACCCCGCUGUUCUGACGGUACCCAAAGAAUAAGCACCGGCUAACUUCGUG